rnacentral:rRNA from 1 species
GGGAAUAUUGGGCAAUGGGCGCAAGCCUGACCCAGCCAUGCCACGUGAGUGAUGAAGGCCUUCGGGUCGUAAAGCUCAGUGGGGAGAGAAGAAUCGCCUUGUGGCUAACAUCCACGAGGUCUGACGGUAUCUCCUUAGCAAGCACCGGCUAACUCUGUGCCAGCAGCCGCGGUAAUACAGAGGGUGCAAACGUUGCUCGGAAUUAUUGGGCGUAAAGCGCACGUAGGCGGUUCGUUAAGUCAGAUGUGAAAGCCCUAGGCUCAACCUAGGAAGUGCAUUUGAAACUGGCGAGCUUGAGUAUGGAAGAGGGUCGCGGAAUUCCCGGUGUAGAGGUGAAAUUCGUAGAUAUCGGGAGGAACACCAGUGGCGAAGGCGGCGACCUGGGCCAAUACUGACGCUGAGGUGCGAAAGCGUGGGGAGCAAAC